CCCGUGUGAGAAGAACUAAGAAGUACGUAAAGUUUCGUACGCCCCUUUAAAGUUUAUGACGCAUUUGUUUGUAUUUUAUAAAAGUAGUUGGCAUUGGAUCUGUGUAUUGUCACAGAUAUUGAAGCUGUUCGGAUAUUGAAUUCUAAUCGGUUAAUUGGUUUAAGCAUCACACAAGUGUGAUGCACAAGUGUGAGUUUCCUCAAAAUGACCAGGACUGUCCCUAAGUCCGAUCCGGGAAAAAAAGCCGGACGAAAAGAUGGAUUUGUUUGAUCCGGACAUAGUAUGAACCCAGAUCGGAAAGUGUCUGGUCUGAGGGGAGUGAGCAAGGCCAGAGAUAUGGCCACAGUUAAACAAUUGUAGAUGUACCAAAAC